UUGCUAAUAUAUUCAGAUGGGUACAGAUUGAAAAUAUUACAGUUGACCUUCCCUCAGAUAAAACAGCUCUACCUCAAACAUAUACACUGCAUGCCAUUAAAAUUGGUAGUAAUGAUCACGAUCCUUUUUUACAUAAAGCCAAUUGGUACUAUGUGUCUGGUAGCAGUAGUGCUGAACUCUGCACUGGAUCUAGGGCCUCAUACAGUUGUACAUUCAUGUAUGGUGAUGGAAUGUCAGUAGAUUAUGGUAAUGGAAGGUGGGACUAUACUCUAACUGUUACUUGGAAUGGAGAGACUAUUGCUAGUGGAGUACUGAGCCAAUCAAACAACAAUGGGGAUCAUGUAUUUAGAUUCUAUUUAGAUUUUGGUCAUAUCCAUCACAACCCAGUAAAAAGAAAUAGAGACAUUUUUGUAACAGUACCAGCAACUGCUCCCUCUUCUCU